rnacentral:rRNA from 1 species
CAAAAACAUAGCUAUAUGUAUAUACAUAUAGUAUUUUCUGCUCAGUGAGAAAUUAAACAGCCGCAGUACCCUGACUGUGCAAAGGUAGCGUAAUCAUUUGUCUUCUAAUUAAAGUCGUGUAUAAACGAAUAUAUGGGGGCUUUCUUUACCACUGAUAACCUAUGAAUUUAUUAAGUGGGUGCAAAUUCCCACAGGUAAAUAAUAGACGAGAAGACCCUAGAAAUUUGACGAAAUUUUUGUUGGGGCAACAUAGUAACACGAAAUUUACUAUAUGUAUAUGAAAUAAUAUUAGAUAAUAUAAAUUACUCUAGGGAUAACAGCAUAAUAUUAAAGUGUUUGUGACCUCGAUGUUGGAUUAGGAAGUUGUAGCCUAGAAGGUGGCCAAUUAUGCUCUGUUCGCGCA